AGAGGUGGCAAGCGUUGUUCGGAAUUACUGGGCGGUAAAGGGCGCGCAGGGCGGGUUCGCCAAGUCCCGUGUGAAACUCCCCGGCUCAACUGGGGGAACUGCGCGGGAAACUAGCGGGCUUGAGUUCGGGAGAGGAAAGCGGAAUUCCGGGUGUAGCGGUGAAAUGCGCAGAUAUCCGGAGGAACACCAGUGGCGAAGGCGGCUUUCUGGACCGACACUGACGCUGAGGCGCGAAAGCUAGGGGAGCGAACGGGAUUAGAUACCCCGGUAGUCCUAGCCCUAAACGUUGAGCACUGGGUGUAGGGGGUAUGAACCCCCCCUGUGCCGAAGCUAACGCAUUAAGUGCUCCGCCUGGGGAGUACGGUCGCAAAGGCUG
rnacentral:rRNA from 1 species